ACCAAAGUAGUUUAAAAAACAUUAAUUUGUGGUAUUAAAAUUAUCAGUUAAAUCCUGAUCUAUGGUC
rnacentral:tRNA from 1 species